UACGUAGGGGCGAGCGUUGUCCGGAAUUAUUGGGCGUAAAGGGCGCGCAGGCGGUCUGUUAAGUCUGUGGUGAAAGACCGGGGCUCAACCCGGAGUGUCCGCAGAGACUGGCAGACUGGAGUAUCGGAGAGGAGUGCGGAAUACCUGGUGUAGCGGUGGAAUGCGUAGAGAUCAGGUGGAACACCGAUGGCGAAGGCAGCACUCUGGCCGAGUUACUGACGCUGAGGCGCGAAAGCUGGGGGAGCGAACGGG
rnacentral:rRNA from 1 species